rnacentral:rRNA from 1 species
GACGAACGCUGGCGGCGUGCUUAACACAUGCAAGUCGAACGAAGUGGCGAACGGGUGAGUAAUACGUGGGUAACCUGCCCUCCUUUUUGGGAUAAGCCUUGGAAACGGGGUCUAAUACCGAAUAAAGGGGGAUGGGCUCGCGGCCUAUCAGCUUGUUGGGGGGGUGAUGGCCUACCAAGGCGGUGACGGGUAGCCGGCCCGAGAGGAUGAACGGCCACAAUGGGACUGUGACACGGCCCAGACGCCUACGGGAGGCAGCAGUGGGGAAACUUCCGAAAUGGACGGAAGUCUGACGGAGCAACGGCGCGUGAGUGAUGACGGCCUUCGGGUUGUAAAGCUCUGUUAAUCGGGACGCGGUACCGGAAUAGAAAGCCACGGCUAACUACGUGCCAGCAGCCGCGGUAAUAC